CCAUCCUUCUGAGGCUACACGCAUCAACACGAAGUUUGUGCACUUCCCCAAAUCAAUUCCCCUCCAAUCUUUAGAGAGAGCAAAAAUGAUCCUCUGGCUAAACAUCUUAUCCAUACUAGCAGUCCUCAGAGGUGCCCAUUCUCAGGCCCAGUUGGUGGAGUCUGGAGGGGACUUGAGAAGACCAGGAGAAUCCCUCAGUCUCUCCUGCCAAGCCUCUGGAUUCACCUUCAGCAGCUAUGGCAUGCACUGGGUGAGACAGGCUCCAGGGAAAGGCCUGGAAUGGGUUGCACUCAUCUAUUAUGAUUCCAGUGAGAAGUUCUACUCAGACAAAGUGAAGGGACGCUUCACCAUCUCCAGGGACAAUGCCAAAAGCCAGCUGUAUCUGCAAAUGAACAACCUCAAACCAGAGGACACGGCAGUCUAUUACUGUGCUGGAAGCACAGUGAGAGGAAGUGAAUCUGUAGCAAAGCAAAAACUUCCCAUUUCACAUAGCAGAGAGAAUUUAGAAUUCUAA